rnacentral:rRNA from 1 species
AUGGGAACGCGAAGAACCUUACCUAGACUUGACAUCUUCUGCAUUAAUCGUAAUAGAGGAAGCCCUUCGGGGCAGGAAGACAGGUGGUGCAUGGUUGUCGUCAGCUCGUGUCGUGAGAUGUUGGGUUAAGUCCCGCAACGAGCGCAACCCUUAUUGUUAGUUGCUACCAUUAAGUUGAGCACUCUAGCGAGACUGCCCGGGUUAACCGGGAGGAAGGUGGGGAUGACGUCAAAUCAUCAUGCCCCUUAUGUCUAGGGCUACACACGUGCUACAAUGGUGGGAACAAAGAGAUGCAAUACCGCAAGGUGGAGCUAAACUCAAAACCCCAUCCCAGUUCGGAUUGUAGGCUGAAACUCGCCUACAUGAAGCUGGAGUUGCUAGUAAUCGCGAAUCAGAAUGUCGCGGUGAAUACGUUCCCGGGUCUUGUACACACCG